ACGGAGAGUUUGAUCCUGGCUCAGGAUGAACGCUGGCGGCGUGCUUAACACAUGCAAGUCGAACGAACCUUCGGGUUAGUGGCGGACGGGUGAGUAACGCGUGGGAAUCUGCCCUCAGGAGGGGGAUAACGGUUGGAAACGGCCGCUAAUACCCCAUAUGCCGAGAGGUGAAAUGAAUUUCGCCUGAGGAUGAGCCCGCGUCUGAUUAGCUAGUUGGUGAGGUAAUGGCUCACCAAGGCAUCGAUCAGUAGCUGGUCUGAGAGGAUGAUCAGCCACACUGGGACUGAGACACGGCCCAGACUCCUACGGGAGGCAGCAGUGGGGAAUUUUCCGCAAUGGGCGCAAGCCUGACGGAGCAACGCCGCGUGAGGGAUGAAGGCCUCUGGGCUGUAAACCUCUUUUCUCAAGGAAGAAGAUCUGACGGUACUUGAGGAAUAAGCCACGGCUAAUUCCGUGCCAGCAGCCGCGGUAAUACGGGAGUGGCAAGCGUUAUCCGGAAUUAUUGGGCGUAAAGCGUCCGCAGGCGGCUUUUCAAGUCUGCUGUUAAAGCGUGGAGCUUAACUCCAUCAAGGCAGUGGAAACUGAUUGGCUUGAGUGUGGUAGGGGCAGAGGGAAUUCCCGGUGUAGCGGUGAAAUGCGUAGAUAUCGGGAAGAACACCAGUGGCGAAGGCGCUCUGCUGGGCCAUCACUGACGCUCAUGGACGAAAGCCAGGGGAGCGAAAGGGAUUAGAUACCCCUGUAGUCCUGGCCGUAAACGAUGAACACUAGGUGUCGGGGGAAUCGACCCCCUCGGUGUCGUAGCCAACGCGUUAAGUGUUCCGCCUGGGGAGUACGCACGCAAGUGUGAAACUCAAAGGAAUUGACGGGGGCCCGCACAAGCGGUGGAGUAUGUGGUUUAAUUCGAUGCAACGCGAAGAACCUUACCAGGGUUUGACAUCCUGCGAACCUCUAAGAAAUUAGAGGGUGCCUUUGGGAACGCAGUGACAGGUGGUGCAUGGCUGUCGUCAGCUCGUGUCGUGAGAUGUUGGGUUAAGUCCCGCAACGAGCGCAACCCACGUUUUUAGUUGCCAGCAUUCAGUUGGGCACUCUAGAGAGACCGCCGGUGAUAAACCGGAGGAAGGUGUGGAUGACGUCAAGUCAUCAUGCCCCUUACAUCCUGGGCUACACACGUACUACAAUGCUACGGACAAAGGGCAGCGAACUCGCGAGGGCAAGCAAAUCCCAUAAACCGUGGCUCAGUUCAGAUCGUAGGCUGCAACUCGCCUACGUGAAGAAGGAAUCGCUAGUAAUCGCAGGUCAGCAUACUGCGGUGAAUACGUUCCCGGGCCUUGUACACACCGCCCGUCACACCAUGGAAGUUGGCCACGCCCGAAGUCGUUACUCCAACCCUUGUGGAGGAGGACGCCGAAGGUGGGGCUGAUGACUGGGGUGAAGUCGUAACAAGGUAGCCGUACCGGAAGGUGCGGCUGGAUCACCUCCU
rnacentral:rRNA from 2 species